UAAAAAGGGGGCUAGCGUUGUUCGGAAUCACUGGGCGUAAAGCGCACGUAGGCGGCGCGUUAAGUCAGGGGUGAAAUCCUGGAGCUCAACUCCAGAACUGCCUUUGAUACUGGCGUGCUCGAGUGUGGGAGAGGUUGGUGGAACUCCGAGUGUAGAGGUGAACUUCGUAGAUAUUCGGAAGAACACCAGUGGCGAAAGUGGCCAACUGGCCCAUUACUGACGAUGAGUUGUGAUAGCGUGGGGAGCAAACAGG
rnacentral:rRNA from 1 species